rnacentral:rRNA from 1 species
AUUGAACGCUGGCGGCAUGCCUUACACAUGCAAGUCGAACGGCAGCGGGGGAGAAGCUUGCUUUUCCUGCCGGCGAGUGGCGAACGGGUGAGUAAUACAUCGGAACGUGCUCAGUCGUGGGGGAUAACUACUCGAAAGAGUAGCUAAUACCGCAUACGAUCUGAGGAUGAAAGCGGGGGACCUUCGGGCCUCGCGCGAUCGGAGCGGCCGAUGGCAGAUUAGGUAGUUGGUGGGAUAAAAGCUUACCAAGCCGACGAUAUGUAGCUGGUCUGAAAGGACGACCAGCCAGACUGGGAAUGAGAAACGGCCCAGACUCCUCCGGGAGGCAGCAGUGGGGAAUUUUGGAGAAUGGGCGAAAGCAUGAUCCAGCAAUGCCGCGUGCAGGAUGAGGGCCUUCGGGUUGUAAACUGCUUUUGUACGGAACGAAAAAGCUCCUUCGAAUACAGGGGGCCCAUGACGGUACCGUAAGAAUGAGCACCGGCUAACUACGUGCCAGCCGCCGCGGUAA